rnacentral:rRNA from 1 species
UACGGAGGGGGCUAGCGUUGUUCGGAAUUACUGGGCGUAAAGCGCACGUAGGCGGGCUGUUAAGUCAGUGGUGAAAUCCCGGGGCUCAACCUCGGAAUUGCCUUUGAUACUGGCAGCCUUGAGUCCGGGAGAGGUGAGUGGAAUUCCGAGUGUAGAGGUGAAAUUCGUAGAUAUUCGGAGGAACACCAGUGGCGAAGGCGGCUCACUGGCCCGGUACUGACGCUGAGGUGCGAAAGCGUGGGGAGCAAACAGG